AUUGAACGCUGGCGGCAGGCCUAACACAUGCAAGUCGAACGGUAACAGGAAGAAGCUUGCUUCUUUGCUGACGAGUGGCGGACGGGUGAGUAAUGUCUGGGAAACUGCCUGAUGGAGGGUGAUAACUACUGGAAACGGUAGCUAAUACCGCAUAACGUCGCAAGACCAAAGAGGGGGACCUUCGGGCCUCUUGCCAUCGUAUGUGCCCAGGUGGGUUUGGUUAGUAGGUGGGGUAACGUCUCACCUGGGUGGCUAGGCCUAUCUGGUGUGAGGGGAUGACCAGCCGCACUGGAACUGAGACACGGACAAGGCUCCUACGGGAGGCAGCAGUGUGGAAUAUUGCGCAACGGGCGCAAGCCUGAUGCAGCCAUGCGGAGUGUAUGAAGGAGACGUUGGGGUUGUAAAGAACUUUCAGCGGGGGGGAAGGGAGUAAAGUUAAUACCUUGGCUCAUUGACGUUACCCGCAGAAGAAGCACCGGCUAACUCCGUG
rnacentral:rRNA from 1 species